rnacentral:rRNA from 1 species
UUUAUUGGAGAGUUUGAUCCUGGCUCAGGAUGAACGCUGGCGGCGUGCCUAAUACAUGCAAGUCGAGCGAAUGGAUUAAGAGCUUGCUCUUAUGAAGUUAGCGGCGGACGGGUGAGUAACACGUGGGUAACCUGCCCAUAAGACUGGGAUAACUCCGGGAAACCGGGGCUAAUACCGGAUAACAUUUUGAACCGCAUGGUUCGAAAUUGAAAGGCGGCUUCGGCUGUCACUUAUGGAUGGACCCGCGUCGCAUUAGCUAGUU